rnacentral:rRNA from 1 species
GACGUAGGGUGCAAGCGUUGUCCGGAUUUACUGGGCGUAAAGAGCUCGUAGGCGGUUUGUUGCGUCGGCUGUGAAAUCCCGAGGCUCAACCUCGGGUCUGCAGUCGAUACGAGCAAACUAGAGUGUUGCAGGGGAGACUGGAAUUCCUGGUGUAGCGGUGAAAUGCGCAGAUAUCAGGAGGAACACCGGUGGCGAAGGCGGGUCUCUGGGCAACAACUGACGCUGAGAAGCGAAAGCAUGGGGAGCGAACAGG